rnacentral:siRNA from 1 species
CUAGCUGACCGGUGUUCUGGC